CCAGGAUUACAGACUUCUUUUAGCAUAUACAGAGAAGCCACAUGAAAGUGGAACUUUCAUUGAAUACUUUUCAUAUUGGACUACUUGUUUGUACUCUCUCUACCUGAAAGGGUUUUAUGAAGACUUUCCAAACGAGCUCCUUUCUGACAACUUGCAAUUGAUCCAACAUUUGAAACCUUAUGCAGGAGCCGGACAGCUUGGUUUUGAAUUAUAAUCUUACAAAUUACUGGCUGUGUGUUAAAUCUUUAAAUUACUGGCUGUGUGACUUUGUAUGAAGAAGAAAAUGCUUUGUCAAGAAAUUCUUUUUUGGACUGAAUUCAUUGUUGCAAAAGAUAGUUAUUUUGGAAAGAAAUUGCUUUAACAGUUUCUCCUGCUACACUAUGACUUGUAUGAAUACAUCCAUAGGCAUAGCGAUAGAAUAAUGAACAGAAAAAUUAAGAAGAACCUGAAAUUAAUAAAUACCUAGGUAUUUGUCAGGUGAGUUAUGGAUGUUGGCAGUUGAUGGAUUAUGUUACAAAGCACAUAAAUGCUGUAUUUGCGUUAGUGUACCAUUUAGCAGCCAUACUCCAGCAGAGUCCACAAGUAUAUGAGCAUGAAGUCCCUGAAGACAUUGGUAAUUGAUUACAAUCAAUCUGUAAAUGAUAUUUAGAUGAUCUUUAUGAGUUGCUUUCCUCUUCUCAUCUUUCUUGGUGUAUCGGUGAAGACUCUAAAUGAUUGAAUUGAAUGACUUUAAUUACAUUACUCAACGACUUUAAAACAAAUUUAGUUUUCAGUAAAAAUAAAUGUGUAUUUGUCUUGAUUCUGAACCCCUUACCUCUAAAGAAAUAUGCCUCAAAACACCAUAUUCUAAUAGCAUUUAUUGGCCUUUAAUGUCUAACACAAUACAUUGCUGUGUUAAAUUGUUUACAGUUUUCAAAAAGCAUAUUCUUUCUCUCUCUCCAAACACACACACACACAUACACACAUCUACACACAUGCACACACACUUUAUUCCCUGACUACACUUUUCUCAUGAGCCACAAUUUUAAUGAAAAGUAGUUUUCUUCAAGCUGGAAAAUUGCUUAGAAAAUGCUAGUUGUCCGGUGAAUAUUUAGAGCGCACAUCGUUCAUUUUACCUAACUCUAUGUUAAGAACAUUAUAUUGGGAUACUUUUAUCCCUGUCCUUUAAAAUGUCAUUUCACCUCAUUGAGGAACAGAAAAACCCAUAUAACUUUCAAUUUCUCCUACAACUAUAGAAAAAUAACUUGUUUGCAUUAAUAUUAAUUUUAAUUAAUUAACUUGUUUGGAUUAAUAUUAACUUUUAGCAAAUAUCUAAUAGCUGCCAAUUUUUUAAUUGUUAGAGUAUACAAACAAAAUACAAUGAAAUAAUUAACCAUUAUUCUACUUAAGGUUUUGUAAUUAACUAUAAAUGGAUCAAUCUGGGCUUGAUUGUUAGGAGUAAAUUCACUCAUCUGCAAAAUGUACAUCCAUUAAUAAUCGCAAAAGAAAUCUGAGUAAAGUCUAGAUUCCUUCUAUUGGAAAUAAUUCUCCAGGAAGAAAAUAUGAUCAAAUGCUAGGGUGCUAGGGUUGGUAUUUUGUCUGUGGAGACUGAGAUAGAAGUGUAUAAAUGAACCUUUAAACACGGCCAGGGACUGGCCAUUACACCAUUACUCUAUUUCUUCUAUUGGUUCAGCAUCUCAAAUUUUACUAUAGAACUAGGCUAAUAAGGUUCUAAUGUCCAAAACCACACAGAUUUAGAACCAAAACAAAACUUUUGUUCUUUUUUCAAUAAAGUACCUCAGGAAUUUGCUAAAAUGCAUAUUAUCAGGAUUCAUAGACAGAUAAUUGCAUUUGUGUGAUCUCAGCUGGGACUCAGAAAACAUAUUUUUAAAUUAUCCUAUCAGAAGAUUCUGAAGCAGAUGGUCCAUGGAGAGUUUUUGAUGAUAUAUUUCUCUAGAAUAAUAAUGUGUUUCUCGAGACACCUAUUACACUAGCAAUUUAUAACUUUAAUCGUAAAGACAGUGUCAUAUAACACUUUCUCAAUAAAUAUUUUUGAGUGAAUAAAUCUACAUAAAAUUAUUUAAAAUAUAUUGUUUAUUUCCAAAUUAGGAGGUGUAAACACUAAUAGUUUUAUAAAAACCUUUCGAUCGGUCUCAAAAUUGCAAAUAAUGUACUCUUAAAAAUAAAAAUUUUGUGAUUUUUUUUAUAACAUUAAACUUAGGUUUGCUUAUAACUUCACAGAGCUUGAUAAUACAUACAAAGACUUCAAAUGAUUGAGGGGUGGUGGUAGUUAAGAAAGAUUGUGCUGUACCAAUCUCAAGAAUAGAGGCAAGACCAAUAAUAAAGCUGUGCAAAAUUAGUAGGCCAGUAUUUACAUAAAUUGAGGAUAUUUAUGUCAAUAACUUUGCAGUCAGAGAUUUUCAAAGGCCAAAUAGACAUUUGAAUGUGUAAUGAGACAAUCUAGACUACAAAUUGUAAUAUUUGUUAUCCUCCAAAUAUGUAAUUCAUCACCUUCAUUUUUCCCCACCAUCUGCCUGGAAGCUUUUAGCAAUAUGUCCAUAACUAGGAAUAAUAAUUUUUAUCUUUGAGAGAUUUAAUUUUUGUAGCAAGAAACAUAAAUAUGAGUGUUGGGGAAAAACUUGCUCUGCUCUUCAGGUUCAUGGAUCUAAUGCUUUUCUUACUCCAGUGGCUGGAUAUAAUUGGAUUUCUUCAGCCACAUGUAUGCAACCAAAACUUGAGAAGGACCCUGUUUGAAUUGUCAAAUAUGAAGGCCCACUAAAUGAACAAGUUACUGUGGCCUUCAAGCAAAGCUAAACAUACCAUCUUCAACCCAAAGGACUUUCAGCAUAUGGUAAAAAACAAAACAAAACAGAACAAAAAAACCUGACCUUUCGACUUCAUUACAGUAAUUUCGUGGAUCAUACUAACUUGUUAGAAAAGAGAAUUAUGGAGCCAGAUUAACACAUUUGGUAUUUACUUAUUCAAAAAUAAGCCAACUUCAUAUUUUUGGCUUGUUCUUGUCUAGGAGAUGGGAUAGGUAACAAUGUCAGGUUGGUAAGCUAAAACACUAAAAACAAAUCUGUUCAAAUAUUUUAGAUUACUAAUGAAAUAUGAGAUACUUUACCUGAAUAAAAUUUAUAUUUCUAUCAUAGCAUCAACAAUCAUGCUAUGAACUACUUGACUUAUUUUACAUAUGUUCUAAGAUUGCUGUAUAGUACUUGCGCUUAUUUUUGUAGCCUACUACAAUCUGCUCUAUUUUCAGUGCUGAGAACAUACGUAUUAUUAACUACCACAAAUUUAAAAAACAUAUCAGCAUGGCUGUGUCAUUCUUUUCUUUGUUGCCAGUCCUUUGAUAGACAAAUAAUUGCAAAUAUGUACACAAAAACUUAUUGAAACUAAUCAUGUAAAAUGACUACACAAAUAUUUAAAACUUAUCAAAAAUUACUCUGAACAGCAAUACAUAUUCUAAUUCUCUACCAUCUGUUAGUAUGUUAUGUCCUAGAUCUACUUAUUUAUCUUUCUUUUCCAAGUAAACUAUAAAAAUGUUUAGGACAAUGACUGCUUUUUAUUUAUUCCAUUAGGGAACCAUAACUUACUACAACAUAGGGCACGCUUUCUAUCUUUUAAAAGAUGAAUUCAUUUUCUUAUUCUCUUUUUAAAUCAUAUGUUUUAUAUUUCAGUUAUGUUUGCUUGUUGAUUCUAGUUAUGAGAUUUAAAAAUGCUUUUCAUCUCAAUUAUGAAACAUGCUUAGGCAAACAUGAACUAUUAUAUUUGUGGAAAUGAAAUGUUCACAAUAAAUCUAAAUCCCUAUUUGAAGUAAUCCUUAAUUGCAGAAAUUGAGCACUGUACAUAACUAAAAACAAUAAAAAAAAUCUGAAUGAGAAAUAGCCUAAAUAUUGUGCACCUGCUUCCAAACUAUGCUACAUUUAUAAAGUAGAAAUAUUUCCCACCAUCCUGUUCUCAAAAGGAAAGCUUUACAUUGCUGUAUUUUAUGUUUUUAGCUGUAAUUCCAGCAGAAACUGUGGCCUCUUCUGAGUGUGGCCUUUGAAUUCACCAAGGCUCGGCUAGAUUCACUCUCAGUAACCUAGGAGAAACUGGAACUUUAAAUAACUAAAAGAAACAAAAUCUUCAUUUCAACUCACCUGUGUGCAUGGAAGCCAUUUUUCUCCCGUUAAGCUGACAUUUCUGUGAGUUGACAGGUCUAUCACUCAGAGCCUCAGACACUUCAAAGACUUCUUAGAACUUCAGGAAUGUCUGAAAAUUUUUAAUGUGAAAGUCAGAAUGUCUGGUUUUAUUAAGAAUUGGUCGUAUCAUUUAUGUAAUCAUCCUGGGACUGUUCUACUGCUGAAAACAACAAAAUGUUCAAAUUAUAUAAAGUGGGGCUGAAACAUGGAAUAUAUAUGAUUUACCAUUCUUUUAAAAAAAAUAAAUGCCAAAAUAAAUUUUGACAAAUUGGAAAACAAAAAAUUUAAAAAAAUUAAAGUCAUUUAAAAUUAUUUAUUUCACCUUAUUUUUGCAUAAAUAUAAGCUUGCAUAUAAUUUGUUUAUAUAAGCAUUAUAGGAUCAUGGCAAGGAAAGAGCCUAUGUAGGAAAUUAUCCUUGGUGGCUGCUCAGAUAAACAUCUGAUUAUUCUUUAAGACUAUGGAUGUCUGGUUCUCACCAUCACCAAUUCUUAUUUGAUUGGUAUUCAUGGAUAUAAAGUACUUCCAAGGUAAUUCUAAUUUAUAGUCACUGCUGUGAACCAUGCUCUAGAAUGAACACCAAAUAAAGCAAAGCAAAUUAUUCUAGCGCUCAUUCCUUGCAAACUGUCAUUUAUUUAUUUAAUAAAAUUAUUGUGCUUUGUUUUUUGACUGAAAAAUUUCCAUAAAACAUAUAUUAGUUGCUUCUUUUAAUUUCUGUUUUGAUACUGUUUUAUUGAUUAUAAAAUUAUUUCACUUUACCUGGUGAAAAAUAAAUAUUGAUGAACUCCUAAUAUAUUUGGAUUAAAUAUGGAGCAAAUAUUUCAUGUAAUUUUAUAGUUAAUUUUUUAAGUUUAAAAACUAUGCUAUAUUAACAUUUCCUUUAUCAAAUAUAAAAAUAACAAGCUAAGAAGUGAAAUUUGCAAAUGUAACUAAUAAA
rnacentral:lncRNA from 1 species